UACAGAGGUCCCAAGCGUUGUUCGGAUUCACUGGGCGUAAAGGGUGCGUAGGUGGUGAGGUAAGUUUGAUGUGAAAGCUCCGAGCUUAACUCGGAAAUUGCAUCGAAAACUCUCUCACUAGAGGGUUGUAGGGGGGACUGGAAUUCUCGGUGUAGCAGUGAAAUGCGUAGAUAUCGAGAGGAACACCAGUGGCGAAGGCGAGUCCCUGGACAACUCCUGACACUGAGGCACGAAGGCCAGGGGAGCAAACGGG
rnacentral:rRNA from 1 species